AGGUUAUCUCCAAUCCCCUCCCAAAGGAAAAAAAAGUUCCUCAAUCUUUUCAUUCUUUAUUAGUGAUGAUCCAAAGAAAAAAAGUUUAAAGCUGUAUUGACUGAAGAAGGGGCAUUUUUUAAUCUUUGGGGAAGCAAUUCCUGCUUUACAACCUAUUAUUGUUAUGUUUCUGUGAACAGUUGGUUAGGACACUGCAAGGCCAAGAUCAAGGCCAAGAUGAAAAUCCUUUUG
rnacentral:misc_RNA from 1 species